rnacentral:lncRNA from 1 species
GCUAAUUAUGUUUCAAGCCUCAAUGAGAUGAGACAAUAUGAACAUAACAUCACGAAUCAACAAUAAGCAGUAUCAACAAGAAAUUUUGAAAGACAAUACCAUUGUAAUGGAUCAAGUGUUCAUGCUUUCAUAGUCAAAAAAGCCUUAUUUUUUGUGGUCUAAAGAAUUACAUUUAAAAUAAUGGGAACUACAUAUAUAAUUAUCAAACUAAGUCCAAAAGAUAAUCAAUGUGUGGUAUAGAGCCCUAAUUUGUACCUGAGACAUUUGUAGCUAAGAAAUUUGUCAAAAUAUUUUUGUCGAACACAUGGUGAGAAAAAUAUAUUCACUUAAUAUUAACUUGUGAUAAAAAAAUAUAAACCAAAAAAAAAAAAAGACACUGCAGUAAAGAGGAACGCAAACCUUAUUAGUCUUGGUGAGUGUUAAAAAAGAAUGGUGAAAUCAUGUGUCGUGAGACGAAACAGAAUAUGAGAUCUAGUUGAUUUAGAGAGAUAGACUUUGACAAUCAAUCAAUAACAAACCAGAUCCAUUUGUUCUUAGUCACCAAUCUAGUUAACAAUCAGUCAACAAUCUAGUUAAGCUUAGGGUAUCUUUUCCUCAAAACCCACAAAAGGGACUCCUCAAGCUUGAUUGCUGAAAUGAUUAUCUAGGUUAUAUGAAUGAAAAGCAUAUAAAUAAAGGGAUAAUCGAUGAAAAGAAAUUGACUGAAUUUUUUUAAGAAACUAACCUCAACCACAAGAACUUCAGAACGAUAUAAAGGGAUUGAAAUGAGCAGAACUGAGAUGAAC